rnacentral:rRNA from 1 species
ACGGGUGAGUAAUGUCUGGGGAUCUGCCCGAUAGAGGGGGAUAACCACUGGAAACGGUGGCUAAUACCGCAUAACGUCGCAAGACCAAAGAAGGGGACCUUCGGGCCUCUCACUAUCGGAUGAACCCAGAUGGGAUUAGCUAGUAGGCGGGGUAACGGCCCACCUAGGCGACGAUCCCUAGCUGGUCUGAGAGGAUGACCAGCCACACUGGAACUGAGACACGGUCCAGACUCCUACGGGAGGCAGCAGUGGGGAAUAUUGCACAAUGGGCGCAAGCCUGAUGCAGCCAUGCCGCGUGUAUGAAGAAGGCCUUCGGGUUGUAAAGUACUUUCAGCGGGGAGGAAGGCGAUGUGGUUAAUAACCGCGUCGAUUGACGUUACCCGCAGAAGAAGCACCGGCUAACUCCGUGCCAGCAGCCGCGGUAAUACGGAGGGUGCAAGCGUUAAUCGGAAUUACUGGGCGUAAAGCGCACGCAGGCGGUCUGUUAAGUCAGAUGUGAAAUCCCCGGGCUUAACCUGGGAACUGCAUUUGAAACUGGCAGGCUUGAGUCUCGUAGAGGGGGGUAGAAUUCCAGGUGU